rnacentral:rRNA from 1 species
GACGAACGCUGGCGGCGUGCCUAAUACAUGCAAGUCGAACGCACAGUUUAUACCGUAGCUUGCUACACCAUAGACUGUGAGUUGCGAACGGGUGAGUAACGCGUAGGUAACUUGCCUGGGAGCGGGGGGUAACUAUUGGAAACGAUAGCUAAUACCGCAUAAUAUUAAUUAUUGCAUGAUUAUUCAUUGAAAGGUGCAAUUGAACAACUAACAGCUGGUCCUGCGUUGUAUUAGCUAGUAGGUGAGGUAACGGCUCACCUAGGCGACGAUACAUAGCCGACCUGAGAGGGUGAUCGGCCACACUGGGACUGAGACACGGCCCAGACUCCUACGGGAGGCAGCAGUAGGGAAUCUUCGGCAAUGGACGAAAGUCUGACCGAGCAACGCCGCGUGAGUGAAGAAGGUUUUCGGAUCGUAAAGCUCUGUUGUAAGAGAAGAACGGGUGUGAGAGUGAAAAGUUCACACUGUGACGGAAUCAUACCAGAAAGGGACGCCAAACUACUU